CCUACGGGAGGCAGCAGUGGGGAAUAUUGCGCAAUGGGCGAAAGCCUGACGCAGCGACGCCGCGUGAGGGAUGAAGGUCUUCGGAUCGUAAACCUCUGUCAGCAGGGAAGAACGGUCACUGUGCUAAUCAGCAGUGACUUGACGGUACCUGCAAAGGAAGCACCGGCUAACUCCGUGCCAGCAGCCGCGGUAAUACGGAGGGUGCGAGCGUUAAUCGGAAUUACUGGGCGUAAAGCGCUCGUAGGCGGUAUGUCAAGUCAAGGGUGAAAUCCCCGCGCUCAACGUGGGAACUGCCUUUGAAACUGGCAAACUGGAGCGUGUGAGAGGAUAGUGGAAUUCCAGGUGUAGGAGUGAAAUCCGUAGAUAUCUGGAGGAACAUCAGUGGCGAAGGCGACUAUCUGGCACAUAACUGACGCUGAGGAGCGAAAGCGUGGGUAGCAAACAGGAUUAGAUACCCCAGUAGUC
rnacentral:rRNA from 1 species